AGUUAAGUGACUAAGCGUACAAGGUGGAUGCCUUGGCAAUCAGAGGCGAUGAAGGACGUGCUAAUCUGCGAAAAGCUUGGAUGAGUCGAUAAGAGGCGUUUAAUCCAAGAUGUCCGAAUGGGGAAACCCAGUAGAUGAAGAAUCUACUAUCAACAAGUGAAUACAUAGCUUGUUGAGGCAAACCGGGAGAACUGAAACAUCUAAGUACCCCGAGGAAAAGAAAUCAACCGAGAUUUCGUUAGUAGCGGCGAGCGAACGCGAAGGAGCCUGUUAGUGAUAGCGACAGAGACAGAGGAACAAGCUGGGAAGCUUGGCGAUACCGGGUGAUAGCCCCGUACUCGAAGUCCAGGUCGUGGUACUAAGCUAACGAUAAGUAGGGCGGGACACGUGAUAUCCUGUUUGAAGAUGGGGGGACCAUCCUCCAAGGCUAAAUACUCCUGAUUGACCGAUAGUGAACCAGUACUGUGAAGGAAAGGCGAAAAGAACCCCGGUGAGGGGAGUGAAAUAGAACCUGAAACCUUGUACGUACAAGCAGUGGGAGCCCUUUAAGGGUGACUGCGUACCUUUUGUAUAAUGGGUCAGCGACUUAUAUUUUGUAGCGAGGUUAACCGAAUAGGGGAGCCGAAGGGAAACCGAGUCUUAACUGGGCGAAUAGUUGCAAGGUAUAGACCCGAAACCCGGUGAUCUAGCCAUGGGCAGGUUGAAGGUUGGGUAACACUAACUGGAGGACCGAACCGACUAAUGUUGAAAAAUUAGCGGAUGACUUGUGGCUGGGGGUGAAAGGCCAAUCAAACCGGGAGAUAGCUGGUUCUCCCCGAAAUCUAUUUAGGUAGAGCCUUGAGCGGACACCUUCGGGGGUAGAGCACUGUUUCGGCUAGGGGUCCAUCCCGGAUUACCAACCCGAUGCAAACUACGAAUACCGAAGAGUGAUACUCAGGAGACACACGGCGGGUGCUAACGUCCGUCGUGGAGAGGGAAACAACCCAGACCGCCAGCUAAGGUCCCAAAGUCUAUAUUAAGUGGGAAACGAAGUGGGAAGGCUUAGACAGCUAGGAUGUUGGCUUAGAAGCAGCCAUCAUUUAAAGAAAGCGUAAUAGCUCACUAGUCGAGUCGGCCUGCGCGGAAGAUGUAACGGGGCUCAAAUAUAGCACCGAAGCUGCGGCAUCAGUGGCAACACUGUUGGGUAGGGGAGCGUUCUGUAAGCGGAUGAAGGUAGCUCGAGAGGGCUGCUGGACGUAUCAGAAGUGCGAAUGCUGACAUAAGUAACGAUAAAACGGGUGAAAGACCCGUUCGCCGGAAG
rnacentral:ncRNA from 1 species